rnacentral:lncRNA from 1 species
GAAAAUGAGCACUGAAGCCAGGCUGGAAGACUGAACCACAACGUGUUUUCAACAUUUUAACUAUGCACGUGGAGGCCAGGCAGUCACGGGUGAUAACCUUCAGACCUGGGUUCAGGAAUGAGCCAGGAUGUGUGGCAAAAUCUGAUGAUAAAGGGGCCAGGCUGACUCUCCACUGCCUUGUUCUUUGGGCUCCUUUCUGUGGGCCAGGGCUGUGCCCUGCAGAUGCCUUCAGGCACUCAGGUUGCCUGUUGUGAGAUGGAGCCGCAAAGGCAGGGCCUGGGCGCCUGGAGUCCGGCAUGAAAGGAAAUAGCGCCUCAUCGCUCUUAUCUAAGCCCAGAGCCGCCACCUCCUCGCCCUCGCGGGCCUCUACGAAGAUUCCAGGCCCUCCAGAGACCAGGACGUCCCUCAGCACCACCGCCCCCUGUGCCAGGGCCGCCCGGAAACAGCCGAUACCCACACCGGGCAAGAGAACUGCACGGGGGGCAACUGGGGGAGGCUGGAAUGAGGGAGGGAAGGUGGGAGGGGGAGGGGGCGCACACCCACAGAGGCCGUAGCAACCGGCUUCUGGGGCGCCCUGAAGCCCAGACACCCCUAUCCUCUCUUUCGCAUCCCCCUCGCUUGAGCCUCUUCUCCCAGCUUGAAAAGGCGACUUGGAGCUUGCCUCCGUGGCCCCUUUCGGUUCCUCCUCCCAUCUUCCCUGCCUUGGCUCCCCCUCCAGGAAGCAGCCACCCCUCUCUCUCGGCCACCGAAUUUCCUGGGAAGCCUCUCCCUGCAGCGCCCGGAGAUAAUAUUGUCCCAACCUGA